UACGAAGGGGGCUAGCGUUGCUUGGAAUCACUGGGCGUAAAGCGCACGUAGGCGGCUUUUUAAGUCAGGGGUGAAAUCCUGGAGCUCAACUCCAGAACUGCCUUUGAUACUGGGAAGCUUGAGUCCGGAAGAGGUGAGUGGAACUCCGAGUGUAGAGGUGAAAUUCGUAGAUAUUCGGAAGAACACCAGUGGCGAAGGCGGCUCACUGGUCCGGUACUGACGCUGAGGUGCGAAAGCGUGGGGAGCAAACAGG
rnacentral:rRNA from 1 species